ACUGAACGCUGGCGGCAGGCUUAACACAUGCAAGUCGAGCGGGGAAGGGUAGCUUGCUACCUGACCUAGCGGCGGACGGGUGAGUAAUGCUUAGGAAUCUGCCUAUUAGUGGGGGACAACAUUCCGAAAGGAAUGCUAAUACCGCAUACGCCCUACGAGGGAAAGCAGGGGAUCUUCGGACCUUGCGCUAAUAGAUGAGCCUAAGUCAGAUUAGCUAGUUGGUGGGGUAAAGGCCUACCAAGGCGACGGUCUGUAGCGGGUCUGAGAGGAUGAUCCGCCACACUGGGACUGAGACACGGCCCAGACUCCUACGGGAGGCAGCAGUGGGGAAUAUUGGACAAUGGGCGAAAGCCUGAUCCAGCCAUGCCGCGUGUGUGAAGAAGGCCUUUUGGUUGUAAAGCACUUUAAGCGAGGAGGAGGCUACUGAGAUUAAUACUCUUGGAUAGUGGACGUUACUCGCAGAAUAAGCACCGGCUAACUCUGUGCCAGCCGCCGCAGUAA
rnacentral:rRNA from 1 species